rnacentral:rRNA from 1 species
GGGGGGGGGGGGGGGGGGGCGGGGCGGGGGCGGGGGGGGCGAGGGAGCGGGGGCGGGCGCGCGGGGGGGGGUGGCGAACGGGCGAGGAACACGUGAGGCACCUGUCCUGUUCCUUGGGAUCACGGCUGGAACCGGCGGCUAAGACGGGCUAGUCAGGCUGCCUCGCCUGGUGGGGCUUGGACACGCUUCUUCUGGGCUUCGGUGGGCUCGCGGCCUACCAGCUUGUUGGUGGGGUGAUCGCUUACCACGGCUUUGACGGUUCGCCGGCCUGAGCGGGUGGUCGGUCGCACUGGGACUGAGAUACGGCCCAGACUCCUGCGGGAGGCAGCAGUGGGGAAUAUUGCACAGUGGACGAGAGUUUGAUGCAGCGACGCCGCGUGGAGGGUGUAGGCCUUCGGGUUGUGAACUCCUUUUGCUCGCGAAAAAGGCACAGUUUUGGCUGUGUUGAUGGUAGUGGGGGAAGAAGCGCCGGCUAACUACGUG